rnacentral:misc_RNA from 1 species
GAAAUGCGAUAAGUAAUGUGAAUUGCAGAAUUCAGUGAAUCAUCGAAUCUUUGAACGCACCUUGCGCCCUUUGGUAUUCCGAGGGGCAUGCCUGUUUGAGUGUCAUUAAAUACCAUCAACCCUCUUUUGACUUCGGUCUCGAGAGUGGCUUGGAAGUGGAGGUCUGCUGGAGCCUAACGGAGCCAGCUCCUCUUAAAUGUAUUAGCGGAUUUCCCUUGCGGGAUCGCGUCUCCGAUGUGAUAAUUUCUACGUCGUUGACCAUCUCGGGGCUGACCUAGUCAGUUUCAAUAGGAGUCUGCUUCUAACCGUCUCUUGACUGAGACUAGCGACUUGUGCGCUAACUUUUGACUUGACCUCAAAUCAGGUAGGACUACCCGCUGAACUUAAGC